AGAUCCAAUGGAAGAUCUAAGAAGUUCUUCCAAGAAGUUCUUAUCUAUCUAUCCAGCCAUGGAAGACGUCCAGUUCUAUGCCACCCUCCUGCGAUCCUGCGAGAAAUCCCGGGAUCUCGCCAGGGUCAGCGAGAUCCAGGAUGAGAUCCACAGCAGCGGGCACUCCCGGAACAUCUUCCUCGCCAAUCUGGUGAUCCGCGCAUUCGCCAGAUGCGGGAGCUUGGAUCGCGCGACCCGCGCAUUCGCGGCGCUGGAUCGCCCCAACGUGUUCUCGUGGAACACGAUGAUCGCCGCUUACGCGCAGCACGGGCGCCUGGAUCUCGCGCGAGCGGCAUUCCAGCGGAUGCCCGCGACAAUCCGAACGAUUCAGUCGUGGAAUUCGAUGCUCCGGGCGCUCGCUGACGCUGGGGAGCUGGGCGACGCGAUCGAUCUCUUCGCCAGGAUGGAGGAGCGCAACACCGUGUCGUGGAAUUCCAUGAUCGAGGCCUAUUCCCGCGCUGGGCGAGUGACCGAAGCCAAGGAUCUCUUCGAUCGCAUGCCCGACCGGGAUUUCUUCUCGUGGGCUGCUAUGAUCGAGGCCUUCCUCGCGAGAGAUCUCGUGGAUCCGGCCAUGGAGCUGCUGCGCCGGAUCCCACUUCUCGACACCGUGCUCAUCACAAGCGCGAUCGUCGCGAUUGCCAGAUUGGGGCAUCUCCGCAAGGCCUGGAGCUUGUUCCUAGGGAUUGUAGAGAAGGAUCUCAUCGCCUGGAACGCGAUGCUCCAAGCGUUUGUUCUUCAUGGGCAUCUGGAAGGGGCGCAGGAUCUCUUCGAUCGAAUGCCAGAGCACAACGCAGUGACGAUCAAUACCUUGAUCCAAGGCUACGCGCAGCACGGGAGCUUCGAUCGAGCAAAGCUUUUGCUCGAUCGAUCGCCCGAGAAAGAUCCAGUAGGAUGGAACUCUCUCAUCACAGCAUAUGCCCUAGCAGGGCAAAUGGACCUCGCGAGAGAGAUGCUGGAUCGGCCGUUGGUUUCGCUCAAUGUGGUCUCGUGGACGGUCGUGAUUAACGGGUACGGACAGCACGGACGAAUGGAAGAGGCUAGAGGAAUCUUUAGAGCGAUGUCUGGCCACGAUUUGGUCGCUUGGAACGCGAUCGUUCAAGCGAGCGCGAGUGAUACAAAGGUGGCACGUGAAUUUUUUGAUAGAAUGCCGGAGAGGAAUUUAAUCUCUUGGAACACCAUGAUUCAAGCUUAUGCUGACCAUGGUGAUUUGGAAAAUGCGGCUAUGGUGUUUAAAGCAUCGCGAGAGAAAAAUCUCGCAACUUUGAAUGCAAUGCUUGUGGCAAGCUCGAAGUCCGGAAAUUUGGAGGAAUCGAAACGAAUAUUUGACCAAAUGCCCGAGUGGGACGUUAUUUCAUGGACUACCAUGAUCAUCGCAUAUACCCAACAUGGGCAUUUAGAUGCCGCAAGAAGAAUCUUUGUUAAGAUGCCCGUCCAAAGCAUAAUAACCUUCACAGCUCUUUUGUGUGGUUUUCUAGGCAACUUUGAAUUUGUUCUCGCGAAAGCUCUUUUCGAAAGAUUCCCAGAGCGAGAUCUAGUCUCCUGGAAUCGAAUGGUAUCAGCAUAUGCCCAAGCCGGGCAUAUACCCAUUUCCAAAAAACUCUUUGACACAAUGCCAGAGAGAGACGUGGUCUCUUGUACGGCGCUAGUCACAGUGUAUGCCCAUUUAGGGUACGGCCUUACAGCCAUUGAGAGCUUCCAGACCAUGGCCAUGGAUGCCGUACACCCCAACGACGUAACUUUUCUGGGCGUGUUCGUGGCGUGCGCGCAUUUGGGCCAGGUGGCCGAAAUUUACGCCUAUUUGGCCUCCAUGGAAAUCGACUAUGGCAUCGUCCCAACCCAAGACCACUAUUCGUGCAUCGUCUCGGCGCUGGGGCGAUUAGGGCAGCUCAAAGCCGCGAUGGAAAUGAUCCAACGAAUGCCCACCGCCGCCACCGCCGCGGCGUGGGAAUCUUUAUUAUCCUGCUAUAGAUUCCAGCGCGAUCCACGCCGCGGGAUCGAUGCCGCCAAGCAAAUCCUGGAAAUCGAGCCCCAAAACGCCGCGGGCUAUGUGCUGCUAUCAAACGCGCUACUUUAGAUGGUCAACGGAUUCUUUUUUAAAAACAGAAUAUACCGGCAUACUUUAGGGUUCUUAAAACUUUUUUGUCGGGGUUUUAGGGUUCUUGAGCAUCAAAUGCAGGGGCUAAAGAGGCUUUUGGCGCAGCGGGACAAUCGCGUGUGCGCCGACUGUGGAGCUGCCGAUCCGAAAUGGGCAUCUGCGAAUUUGGGGGUUUUCGUGUGCAUACAAUGCUCUGGGAUCCAUCGCAGCCUUGGCGUUCAUAUUUCUA